CAGACAGUCCUCCUGCUUCCCUUUGGCAGGCUGGGCCAUGAAGCAGUCUGAUGAAGUCACUGUGCUGAUGCAAGCUGGCGCCAUGAUAUCAUUAGACCAUGUCACAACUGGCCAGGGGAGACAGGCCGGUGAUAGUGGGGGAGCAGGUGGGGGUGUGUGCAAAGGCUGGUGGGCCCCAUCCCUGGUGGUGGUGGCGGCGGCAGCAGCAGCAGGGCAACAGUGGGCACCCAAUGUCCAGGUGACCCAAGAGGCAGGGAUGAGGGGGGUGAGUCUCUGGAACCCCCAGAAGUCACAUGGGCACUUGUGGCCCAGGGACAUUUUCCCCACUCCCACUCUUCUCCAUUAUAGCUAUGGGCCUACAUCGGGAUGGAACUAAUGGUGUUCCAAGCUGCCCCUUGGGGCCACCUUGAUAUCCCUUCCUGCAGCUCACCUGCCUCUGCCAUCCAGCCACCCUCCUCCUCCUCCUCCUCCUCCUCCUCCACUGCCUGCCUGCCUGCCAGCCACACUGCUUCUGUUUGUCAGCCCUUCCUGCUUCCGACUCCUGGACCGAAAGCAGGACACGUCGGCUUUGUAAGGAGUGUGAAGAGAGGUGCUUGGGCCAAAUCGAUCCUGAAGAGCUGCUCCAAUGGCAGCAGUGGGAGACAUCUUGCUGCCCUGCUGCUGCCCCAAUAAUCAGCCACCUGAGGCAACUGCCUCACAUCACCUCAUGAAAGGGUCACCUCUGCUCGCAUGUGUGCUAGCUUCAGUUUCAACACCAUCUACUGUAGCCUCGCCAGGUAGUAAAUACUGCUGAACAUAUAUUUGAAGCAAAAAGCAGACUUUGUUUUCGACAAUGCAAUUACGCCAAGCAAUAAGACACAAUCCUUCCUGUGUACGAGAGAAGAAGAAAUGCCUCUUCUGAGUUGGCACUUGCUACUUGCAGCUUUUGUAAUAAUUUGUCUUUAAAAUAAUAUAUAUUUAAAAAUCUGCACCCAGUUAACCAGAAGUACUUUUGGAGCUAUUCAAAAAGGAUUUAAUCAAUCUAAUUAAUUAAACAUUGCAGUCUAAGUGAAAAUGGUUGUGUCAUUGUGACUCACUCCCACUCUUCUCGCCCAGCCCCAGGCUGCCUCACUCUCCCUUAUCAGGCUAAUGCAGAUGCACAGGCUGAUUAUUCACCUCAGCCAAAGGCCUCUGCAGCUGAGGAUCCUGGGAGUUGUAGUCAACAACAUCUGGGAAUCUGUUCCAGGAAACACUGUCACCAGAUUGAAUCUUGGUCAAAAGACUAGGCAACUGGGAUCAAGUGUCAUUGCUGAUGGAGGCUAACUGAUACUAAUCCAUCCAAUAUGACUGCCAUUCCACUGCCAAAGAGGGAGAGGUUGGCUAGUUUGGGACCCAGAAGAAAAAAUGGAGGGGGGCACAGAAGGGGCAAAGAGCACUUAUCGGUGGGUGAACUGUGUCCCCAGGGGUACAGUGGAGGAGGUACAUGCAGGGACAGCCUGCCGGUACUUCUCAGCUUCUCUGGCUGUUGGGGUGGGCAUGGCCAUGGAGGCUGUCAUGGAGAGUGCCUGCACUUCUGAAUUUGCAACGACAUCACUGUAUGACCUACAUGUCAGAUUUCUGGAACAGAAAUGGGGGGCAGCUGGGUGGGGUAAACCUUGUCUAAAGGAGCAUGUGCCCUCCUGCAUCCCCUCUGCAACCUCCCUUGCAGCUACCAUUUGGCUCCUUCCCUUCCAGAACUGUUUCCCUCAGUGGCCAUUUCAUCUGAUCAGUAUGUAACUAAAAUGUUGGUACCUGAAGGGUUGUUUUCCUCUUUCCUUCCCCAUCCCAUUUGGAUUGUGUCUGUUCAAUUGUAAACCUACACAGCCACAACCUUUGUUUGUUUGUUUUUAAUUUUUGUACAGUGCCAAGAAAAAUUUAAGUGACAUAA